rnacentral:tRNA from 1 species
UCCCUGGUGAUUCAGUGGUUAAGACUCCACACUUGCAUUGUAGGGGGCACAGGUUCAAUCCCUGGUCAGGGAA